AUGUACUCUUUAUAUGUUGUCGGAAAAAAUCGCUGCAGUGUUGCAGUCUCGCCACGAGACGGCGCUGUGGCUCCCUCGAACAGGUCCGCAUGUCGGGCACUUCUGUCAUCCCCCCACGAGGUGGCGCUGUCACCGGGCCGGACAACCGUGAUGGCGGCACGAACUCGACUGCCCCUCGUUCGGCGAGACCGAGUCUGCAUGGCUUUGGAUUCAGCUGACAAUGGAGCUGGAAUACGUGAACGCCUCCCUUGGAGGGAAGCGGCUUGGGCCCCAAGAAGGGCAGGACACACCCUAAUUCCUCCAUCUUGUCCCUUUGAACCCCCCUGUACUGAGAUUCUAAAACCUGUGUUUCACACUAUAAUUAAUCUAUCCCUUCACCAUUUAUCCCCGUGUGAUCCUCCCAUCCUCAUAGAGGUGAUGUUUCCUGUGCAGGGUCAAAGUCCAACCACCAAACACUUCUGGCCACGUUCCAGGACCUCCAAACCCCCCAGGGGUGGUCUCGGUGCCUCUGCACAUCAGGAACGCUGUGCUGAGCUCCCACAGCUCUGGGGGAAUGGCAGCAAUGGCACGGAGCAGCCACGAGUCCUUUGUGCCUCCAGGUCCCUUUCUGCCCUCCAGGUCCUUUGUGCUUCAGGUCCUUUUGGCCUCCAGGUCCCUUUUUUGCCUCUCCAGAAUCCUUUUUGCUUUGGGUCCUUUUUGCUUUGGGUCCUUUUUGCUUUGGGCCCUUUUUGCUUUGGGUCCUUUUUGCUUUGGGUCCUUUUUGCUUUGGG
rnacentral:lncRNA from 1 species